rnacentral:rRNA from 1 species
AGAGUUUGAUCCUGGCUCAGAAUCAACGCUGACGGCGUGCCUAACACAUGCAAGUCGAACGAGAAAGUGGAGCAAUCCAUGAGUAAAGUGGCGCACGGGUGAGUAACACGUGACUAACCUACCCUUGAGUGGGGGAUAACCUAGGGAAACCUGGGCUAAUACCGCAUAACACCUACGGGUCAAAGGAGCAAUUCGCUUAAGGAGGGGGUCGCGGCAGAUUAGUUAGUUGGCGGGGUAAUGGCCCACCAAGACGGUGAUCUGUAUCCGGCCUGAGAGGGCGCACGGACACACUGGAACUGAAACACGGUCCAGACUCCUACGGGAGGCAGCAGUGGGGAAUUUUGCGCAAUGGGGGAAACCCUGACGCAGCAACGCCGCGUGGAGGAUGAAGUCCCUUGGGACGUAAACUCCUUUCGACCGGGACGAUUAUGACGGUACCGGAAGAAGAAGCCCCGGCUAACUUCGUGCCAGCAGCCGCGGUAAUACGAGGGGGGCGAGCGUUGUUCGGAAUUAUUGGGCGUAAAGGGUGCGUAGGCGGUUCGGUAAGUUUCAUGUGAAAUCUUCGGGCUUAACUCGAAGCCUGCAUGAAAUACUGCCGGGCUUGAGUGUGGGAGAGGUGAGUGGAAUUUCCGGUGUAGCGGUGAAAUGCGUAGAUAUCGGAAGGAACACCUGUGGCGAAAGCGGCUCACUGGACCACAACUGACGCUGAUGCACGAAAGCUAGGGGAGCAAACAGGAUUAGAUACCCUAGUAGUCC